rnacentral:rRNA from 1 species
GAAUUCGCCCUUAGUUUGAUCCUGGCUCAGGAUGAACGCUGGCGGCGUGCUUAACACAUGCAAGUCGAACGAAGCACUUUGGACAGAUUCUUCGGAUGAAGUCCUUAGUGACUGAGUGGCGGACGGGUGAGUAACGCGUGGGUAACCUGCCUCAUACAGGGGGAUAACAGUUAGAAAUGGCUGCUAAUACCGCAUAAGCGCACGGUACUGCAUGGUACAGUGUGAAAAACUCCGGUGGUAUGAGAUGGACCCGCGUUGGAUUAGCUAGUUGGCAGGGUAACGGCCUACCAAGGCGACGAUCCAUAGCCGGCCUGAGAGGGUGGACGGCCACAUUGGGACUGAGACACGGCCCAGACUCCUACGGGAGGCAGCAGUGGGGAAUAUUGCACAAUGGGGGAAACCCUGAUGCAGCGACGCCGCGUGGAGGAAGAAGGUCUUCGGAUUGUAAACUCCUGUUGUUGGGGAAGAUAAUGACGGUACCCAACAAGGAAGUGACGGCUAACUACGUGCCAGCAGCCGCGGUAAAACGUAGGUCACAAGCGUUGUCCGGAAUUACUGGGUGUAAAGGGAGCGCAGGCGGGAAGACAAGUUGGAAGUGAAAUCCAUGGGCUUAACCCAUGAACUGCUUUCAAAACUGUUUUUCUUGAGUAGUGCAGAGGUAGGCGGAAUUCCCGGUGUAGCGGUGGAAUGCGUAGAUAUCGGGAGGAACACCAGUGGCGAAGGCGGCCUACUGGGCACCAACUGACGCUGAGGCUCGAAAGUGUGGGUAGCAAACAGGAUUAGAUACCCUGGUAGUCCACACCGUAAACGAUGAUUACUAGGUGUUGGAGGAUUGACCCCUUCAGUGCCGCAGUUAACACAAUAAGUAAUCCACCUGGGGAGUACGACCGCAAGGUUGAAACUCAAAGGAAUUGACGGGGGCCCGCACAAGCAGUGGAGUAUGUGGUUUAAUUCGACGCAACGCGAAGAACCUUACCAAGUCUUGACAUCCUGUGACAGACGUAGAAAUACGUUCUUCCUUCGGGACACAGAGACAGGUGGUGCAUGGUUGUCGUCAGCUCGUGUCGUGAGAUGUUGGGUUAAGUCCCGCAACGAGCGCAACCCUUAUGGUCAGUUACUACGCAAGAGGACUCUGGCCAGACUGCCGUUGACAAAACGGAGGAAGGUGGGGAUGACGUCAAAUCAUCAUGCCCUUUAUGACUUGGGCUACACACGUACUACAAUGGCGUUAAACAAAGAGAAGCAAGACCGCGAGGUGGAGCAAAACUCAGAAACAACGUCCCAGUUCGGACUGCAGGCUGCAACUCGCCUGCACGAAGUCGGAAUUGCUAGUAAUCGUGGAUCAGCAUGCCACGGUGAAUACGUUCCCGGGCCUUGUACUCACCGCCCGUCA